UUUAAACAAAAAUUUUACGGAAACCAUGGUUGUGAAACGAACAACAUCAAUUUGUAAGUAAAAAUAUUAUUUGUUAGUCUCUAUUGAGCUGAAAUGGAUCAGGUGGACAAGUGGGUACUUAUUAUAACAUGUUGCCUGCUAGUGGGAUACGGCCUUUACAGAAUAAUGAAACGAGGAAAUAAAGAGCAAACGCCACCGCUUAGGAGAAGUCGCAGAUUGGCAGGUCUAGAUCCCCUUCCUUAAACUACCACGGCUGAAUUGAUUACAAGAUAGGCUCUUAUAAUGAAGCUUUAUUAGAAAAAUUUGAAUAUGGAUUUUUGAAAAAUUUCUUAUAUACACAUUGAACUUUUAUAUAAAAAAAUUAUAGUCAAGAUUUAGAUAUUAAAUAUUAUACAUUUUUA